GAUGAACGCUGGCGGCGUGCCUAAUACAUGCAAGUCGAGCGAACAGACGAGGAGCUUGCUCCUCUGACGUUAGCGGCGGACGGGUGAGUAACACGUGGAUAACCUACCUAUAAGACUGGGAUAACUUCGGGAAACCGGAGCUAAUACCGGAUAAUAUAUUGAACCGCAUGGUUCAAUAGUGAAAGACGGUUUUGCUGUCACUUAUAGAUGGAUCCGCGCCUCAUUAGCUAGUUGGUAAGGUAACGGCUUACCAAGGCAACGAUGCGUAGCCGACCUGGGAGGGUGAUCGGCCACACUGGAACUGAGACACGGUCCAGACUCCUACGGGAGGCAGCAGUAGGGAAUCUUCCGCAAUGGGCGAAAGCCUGACGGAGCAACGCCGCGUGAGUGAUGAAGGUCUUCGGAUCGUAAAACUCUGUUAUUAGGGAAGAACAAAUGUGUAAGUAACUAUGCACGUCUUGACGGUACCUAAUCAGAAAGCCACGGCUAACUACGUG
rnacentral:rRNA from 1 species